rnacentral:rRNA from 1 species
CCUACGGGUUGCAGCAGUGGGGAGUAUUGCACAAUGGGCGCAAGCCUGAUGCAGCCAUGCCGCGCGUAUGAAGAAGGCCUUCGGGUUGUAAAGUACUUUCAGCGGGGAGGAAGGCGAUAAGGUCAAUAACCUUGUCGAUUGACGUUACCCGCAGAAGAAGCACCGGCUAACUCCGUGCCAGCAGCCGCGGUAAUACGGAGGGUGCAAGCGUUAAUCGGAAUUACUGGGCGUAAAGCUCACGCAGGCGGUGUGUCAAGUCGGAUGUGAAAUCCCCGGGCUCAACCUGGGAACUGCAUUCGAAACUGGCAGGCUAGAGUCUUGUAGAGGGGGGUAGAAUUCCAGGUGUAGCGGUGAAAUGCGUAGAGAUCUGGAGGAAUACCGGUGGCGAAGGCGGCCCCCUGGACAAAGACUGACGCUCAGGUGCGAAAGCGUGGGGAGCAAACAGGAUUAGAUACCCCUGUAGUC